UAUUAAACUUUAAUGGGUAACUAGUAGACAGUAACACUCUGGGAGGGCUCAAACCACAUAACCAAAUGUGCCAAGAUAAUCCUGAGCUCACUAUUGUCAGUCCUGAAGAUUUUCCUCAGAUAAUCUUUCAUCUCUUUGUUCCUGAGACUAUAUAUUAGAGGAUUACAGAGUGGUGUUAUCACAGAAAAGAACAAGUGGAUUUUUAUCUGAGAUCUACAACUUAUGAAGAAUACAAAUGAUGUAUAUUCUUUUCUACUCUUCAUGUAUGGACUAGAGGGGCUUGCACAGUAGUAAGAAAAAAAUGGCUGAGACCCACAGGAACAAAGAAACAGGACAGGAGUUAGAUGCAGAGAAGAGAUUUCAACAAAAGUUUGGAAAAGAUGCUAACGGUAGCAUAUGAGUCACAGACAGAACAUUGGCACCUUUGUUUAAGAAACUGAAUGUUAAUGUCACAUCUGCCUUUGGAGAUUACAAAUGAAAUGGCUACCUUUCUACUGGAACCCUGACCAGAAGUCUGCCAGUUAGUAAGCUGGCUUAAGAGAUCAAUCUAAAAUUUACAUAAGGCUUUUGAAAAAAAGAAAAAAACUCAAGAGAAUUGACAUCUGGUGUUAAAAAACAAAAAAUCAUACAAAUGACUGAUAUGUAUCAUUUUCCUUAUUAAAUAUGGAAGAAAGGGGAGGAGGAUGCAGAAAUGGUUGGCUAAAAGCUCCAGAGAAAAACUUAACAGAUUUUAUGAUUUUGCGGAAGUGUGUCAUCAUGGCCAGAAACUGAUCAAUCCACGAAUUAGCUGAAAUGGCAAGAACGAUUAGAGAUACAGUGAGGAGGGUCUCGAGUUCCUCUGAGCCUGAUGAUGAGCCAGGACAGGAAGGGGCCUGGGCCUCCAGGCAGCAGCAUCUCUCCAGGAUGCCCCCAGCCACAGCAUAAGGAAUUCCUACACUUUUGUUAUCUUAAACAAAACCUUCUAGAAUUCCUUCUAACUCUAGGAGACUGAAAUGUAUUUUUCUUUCUUUCAACUGUCUCCUGUCUGUCCCUGACUCCCUCACUCCGUUUUUUAAUGUUUGGCCAUUUAUCUCAUGAGCUUACUAAAAAUAAAUUGUAUACUCAGCAAUGGAUAACAUAGAAGAAAUGGAUAA
rnacentral:lncRNA from 1 species